UUCUGUGACUGUGUUUUUCCAAGCGUGGUCUAGAGAACACCGACAUCCGAAGCACCUUUACAAGCCAGGGGCAUCAUAAGAAUAAGUGAGCAGAAUGCAGCUUCUGUACUAGUCAGGUUCUCCAGAGGAAGAUAAUCAACAGGAGUAUGAUUAUAAAAAGGGGACUCACUAGAUUGGCU